rnacentral:misc_RNA from 1 species
GAUGAAGAACGUAGCGAAAUGCGAUAAGUAAUGUGAAUUGCAGAAUUCAGUGAAUCAUCGAAUCUUUGAACGCACAUUGCGCCCCCUGGCAUUCCGGGGGGCAUGCCUGUUCGAGCGUCAUUACAACCCUCAAGCUCUGCUUGGUAUUGGGCUCUGCCGGUCCCGGCUGGCCUUAAAAUCAGUGGCGGCGCCACUCGGCUUCAAGCGUAGUAAUUCUUCUCGCUUCGGAGACCCGGGUGCGUGCUAGCCAGCAACCCCCAACUUUCUCAGGUUGACCUCAGAUCAGGUAGGGAUACCCGCUGAACUUAAGCAUAUCAAUAAGCGGAGGA